rnacentral:rRNA from 1 species
AAAAAAAAAAAUUUUACCCUGAACGUGCCUGAUCUCGUCUGAUCUAAGCAGAAGCUAAGCAGGAUCGGGCCUGGUUAGUACUUGGAUGGGAGACCACCUAGGAAGACCAGGUGCUGUAGGUG